AGCUUUGCGCAGUGGCAGUAUCGUAGCCAAUGAGGUUUAUCCAAGGUGCGAUUAUUGCUAAUAGAAUUCAACAUCCAUUCACUAUACUAAAAAAGAAAACUCAGCAAACUAGGAAUAGAAAUUUCUUACCAUGAUGAAGAAUA